AUACGGAGGAUGCGAGCGUUAUCCGGAUUUAUUGGGUUUAAAGGGUGCGUAGGCGGUCGGGUAAGCGUAGGGUGAAAGUCCUCUGCUCAACAGAGGAAGUGCCUUCCGAACUGUCCGACUGGAAUGCUCCUGCCGUGGGAGGAAUGUGUGGUGUAGCGGUGAAAUGCAUAGAGAUCACACAGAACACCGAUUGCGAAGGCAUCUCACGAAGGGGCUAUUGACGCUGAGGCACGAAAGCGUGGGGAUCAAGCAGGAUUAGAUACCCUGGUAGUCCGCACAGUAAACGAUGAAUACUUGUUUUCGGCGAUAUAAUGUCGGAGGCAAAGCGAAAGCGAUAAGUAUUCCACCUGGGGAGUACGCCGGCAACGGUGAAACUCAAAUGAAUUGGCGGGG
rnacentral:rRNA from 1 species